rnacentral:lncRNA from 1 species
GGCCCCUAGUGAUUUCGGUGAUUAAUGACAAUAUUGAUUACUGUGACUAACGUGUGUUUUGCAGAAGCAAAGUCAUAGGUAAGGUCAUGGUAACAGGUACUCGAUGGACAGGGACGUACAUGCCUACUUAAUAGUGGAAAUCGUUUUGGUUUUCAAAGGAUGGAUGGACAUCGUCAAGACUAGAAUAGGUCUAAGUGCCAUAUGGUGAAGAAGGGCACUUAGAGUAGUUUAGGACUUUGUUUCCCUUUGACCGUACUAUUAAGAGGGACUAGCUACUACAACAACGACGUCCAGGUACCGAGCUGUAUGUUUCCGAUAUGUAUGCAAUUUUUUUCGAUUCCGACUCGGACGCGGUAUGCAGGUACGUAUGCUUUCGUUUUUUCUUAUAUUUCUUUUCCCCUUUACGUAUGUUUAUCUUUUUUUUUGUUUUUAGCAAGCAUAAUCUAAAUUAGUAAAUUAGUGAGAUAUAUAGGAAUGGUGCUAAAACUUUUCCACAAAUUAAACAUCAUAUUAAAUAGGUUAUCAUAAAAUUUUUAUGAUAAUGAGAACAUAUCAUGUGCAACCCAGCUUCAUGUGCAAUCUAUGUAACCAUCAACUAAGGUCAUAGGAUCUAGAUCCAACGUCUGAGGUUUUUUUCACUUAAACCCUUUCAUUUAGAUACACAUGGGUU